UGGGGUGUAGCUCAGUUGAAGAGCACUUGUCUAGCAAGUGCAAGGCCCUGGGUUCAACCCCUAGUACUACAA
rnacentral:tRNA from 1 species